rnacentral:rRNA from 1 species
UACAGAGGGUGCGAGCGUUUGUCCGGAAUCACUGGGCGUAAAGGGCGCGUAGGCGGCUUGAUAAGCGUGCGGUGAAAGCCCGGGGCUCAACCCCGGGUCGGCCGUGCGAACUGUCGAGCUGGAGCACUGUAGAGGCAGGUGGAAUUCCGGGUGUAGCGGUGGAAUGCGUAGAGAUCCGGAAGAACACCGGUGGCGAAGGCGGCCUGCUGGGCAGUGGCUGACGCUGAGGCGCGACAGCGUGGGGAGCAAACAGG